CGCGGAGGUGACUGGCGCGCCCGGAGGUGGCCGGCGCGCGCGGACUUUUCCUCCACGCCUGUCGCGCAGAGCGGCUCCUGGGCAGCCCGGGCUCCGCGAGCCGUAGCCUGUCUGCAAGGAAGCGGCGGUUUCGUUGUCGCCUGUGCACGCCCGGGCCGCUGGCUGCCUCUCGUCAUCCGAGCACGCUGCGCUUCGCUGAGCCCGGAAGGAAGUCUUUGAAGAUAGUUCUCAUCUAAGGGGCGGGUACGUGCGGCACGGAGGCGCAGGGGGGACGUGCAGGCUUCCUGGAUGUCUGCAUGAAGACCGCAUUCGGGGAGAGAGCGAUGGGGGCGUGCACGGAAACCGAACCUGGCCUCUUCUCUCCUAAGGUGUCCCAGUCCGGAUGCAGCUUUUUUCUUUUUAAAUCGACGUUGGUCAUCCCUCUUAAGUCCUUCCCGCCAGUGCCAGUCUGUUCAUUUGCACUAAGCCUUGUGGUCCCUCUGGAUCUCGGCAGGAUGCUGUGGCUGAUGGCUGUGGAGCUAUCUGCGUGGAGUCCUGCUUUGAGUGGGAACUCUGAGCUGAGAUGGGGGAUUGAAGGAUCCAGGACGCUUCAAGCCAGGUGACUCCCCACCUGCAGUGCUCUAAAUGUUGCAGAUGGGUGGCACCUGACCCAGAUUGUGUGACAUGCCUAGCACCUUGCAGUUAAGAUCCCGGAACUUGCUUAGGAAUGCUCGUACUCUCUGGUCCCCUGAGCAGUCCUAGCCCCGGACAAUCUGUUCUCAGUGUACAAAACCUUCCAUCUGUGAGUUCGAAGAGGCGGGGACCCUGGGAGCUGAUUAGGUCAACAGGACUCUGCCAGUGAAAGAGACCUGAGGGGACUUGUUCUCCCCUCACACUGCGUGAAGAUGCAGCUGCCCUCCAGCAGAGAUCCUUCACCGGGACACCUCCUCUGUCAGUGCCUUGACCUUGCACUUUACAGGAGUCUCAAGAACCUUCACAAAUAAACUGCUGUUGUUUAUAAAUGA